AAUGCCCUCCCCGAACAAAUCCAUGGCUACGUCUAUGUUAGACUUUCCCUUCGUGUACUUCUCGAACUUGGUCUUCAAUACGUACUCGACGUUCAUUGGAUCAGCCGUGUAAAUCUCACAAUGGCCUGGUGCAAGGAGCCGGUGGAUACUUAGAGAUUCGGAGGGACUUGCCAGUGAAGAUUUUGAGGAGAAGGAGAGAAAAGGCGAUAGAGAGAGCGAUUGGAACGAGUGCCACGGAGUAGAGCAUCACAGACACAAUGUUGAUGUCCAUUUUUCUGUGAAGAAGAUGGAAGGUGAUGAAUAUGAAGAUCAAGUAGAUGAUAUCCUUGCCUUGAUUUAUGUCUCAAGACUCUUGACUUCGUCCAUUUGUCUUUACUUAGCACUUUAGAAUGUAAUAAUGCAAGAGGAAGAUUUAAA